GCUUGCCAUUUGCCAGAGUAUUCUACUUUCGACCUUUCGUUCUGCGGAUCUAGGGUUUCUCUUCGAAAUCACCACCAUCGUUUUCCUCAAUAGCCAUCGCCAUUCCCUAACCAACAUCACCUCAAACAAUCACUCAGGGAUUGAGGUUCAUGACAGCGCGUUUGGAAUUUUCAUCCGGAUCUAAAAUUUUGUCAGAACAAUAGGGUUUAAUAUUCUUUUAUACAUAUAUUUUGUUGCCGUUAAUCGAAAAAUUUGGGAUGAAUUUAAAGUAUUCUCGAUGAAACAAUCUGGAAUUUUUUUUGUGAAAGCCGCAACAAGAUUUUUGUGAUUUUGAAGUAGUAAAGAACAAGGGAAAAUGUACAAGUCUUUGGUAUACUAUAGGGAAGUGGUAUUGGGAGAGGUAGAGAUAUAUCUAGAAGAGAACCAGAACAUGCAUCUGAAAGAAAUCAGAAUAAGUCACUUCUCACAACCAAGUGAAAGGUGCACACCACUUGCUGUGCUUCACACCCUUGCUACCUGUGGUGUUUGCUUCAAAAUGGAGUCAAAGACCUUGCAGACAGAACAGCAACAGGAUGCGCUCUUUCACUUGCACUCUUCAUGUAUCAGGGAAAACAAGACUGCUGUAAUACCACAGGGUGGGGAAGAAAUACGUUUGGUUGCAAUGUAUUCACGGAAUAAUGAUAGACCUUGUUUCUGGGGAUUUGUUGUUGCCUCUGGACUCUACAAUUCAUGCCUUGCAAUGUUAAAUCUAAGAUGUUUGGCUUUAGUGUUUGAUCUGGAUGAAACUCUUAUAGUAGCAAACACAAUGCGCUCCUUUGAGGAUAGAAUUGAGGCGCUCCAUCGAAAAAUAAACUCUGAGGUAGAUCCACAACGAAUUUCUGGUAUGCAGGCAGAGAUUAAGCGAUACCUAGAUGACAAGUGUAUAUUGAAGCAAUAUGCUGAAAAUGAUCAAGUUGUUGAUAGUGGGAAAGUGAUAAAAGUUCAAUCUGAGAUUGUUCCAGCGUUGUCUGAUGGUCAUCAGUCUAUAGUUCGACCACUGAUACGGUUACAGGAAAAGAACAUUAUUCUGACACGCAUCAAUCCGCAGAUUCGUGACACUAGUGUUCUUGUGAGGGUGAGACCUGCAUGGGAAGAUCUCCGGAGCUACCUGACAGCAAGAGGGCGCAAGCGUUUUGAGGUUUUUGUUUGCACAAUGGCUGAAAGGGACUAUGCACUAGAAAUGUGGAGGCUUCUUGAUCCAGAUUUGAAUCUUAUAAAUUCAAAAGAACUAUUAGAUCGUAUUGUAUGUGUCAAGUCUGGUUUAAAGAAAUCAUUAUUUAAUGUAUUCCAAGAUGGAUUUUGCCAUCCAAGGAUGGCAUUGAUCAUUGACGAUCGCUUGAAAGUGUGGGAUGAGAAAGACCAACCCCGGGUGCAUGUUGUCCCUGCAUUUGCUCCGUACUAUGCUUCUCAAGCUGAAGCAAGCAAUGCUAUCCCUAUCUUGUGUCUUGCAAGAAAUAUUGCUUGCAAUGUUAGGGGGGGCUUCUUCAAGGAUUUUGAUGAUGGGCUCUUACAAAAGAUCCCUCUGAUUGCUUAUGAAGAUGAUAUCAAAGAUAUACCUUCUCCCCCCGAUGUGAGCAAUUAUCUAGUUUCAGAGGAUGAUGCAUCUGCUACCAAUGGAGAUAAAGAUUCACUUCUACUUGAUGGCAUGGCAGAUGCUGAAGUCGAAAGAAGAUUAAAGGAUGCAACAUCAGCAUGUUCAACUAUCCCUGCAGUGACUGCUAAUUUAGAUCCCAGACUCAAUUCUGCUGCUUCUCUUCAACACACAAUGGUGUCUUCUUCUGGUACAGUUGCACCACCAACAGCACAAGCAUCUGUGAUGCAAUUUGGCAAUGUACAGAUCCCUCAAUCUACUACUCUAGUUAAGCCAAUGGGUCAAGUUGCUCCUCCAGAACCGAUCUUGCAUAGUUCUCCUGCCAGAGAAGAGGGUGAAGUACCUGAAUCCGAAUUAGACCCAGAUACAAGGCGUAGGCUUCUCAUAUUGCAACAUGGGCAAGAUACAAGGGAGAACACAUCAAGUGAACCUCCAUUUCCCAUUAGACAUCCCAUACAAGGCUCUGUUCCCUGUGUCCCAUCACAUAGGGGAUGGUUUUCUGUAGAAGAGGAGAUGGGUACACAGGCACAGCAACUUAGUCGGCUAGUACCUAAAGAAUUCCCUGCAGAUUCUGAACCAUUGCAUAUUGAGAAGCACUGGCCUCAUUGUCCACCACUGUUGUCCAACGUUGACAAUUCAAUUUCAUCUUGUAGAACUCUCCAUGAGAGCCACCAAAGAUUGCCAAAGGAGGUUCAUCAUAGGGAUGAUGGCUCAAGCCAAUCACACCCUAGUUUUCAUUCCUUCCCUGGUGAUGACAAUCCCUUGAGUAGUUCAUCUUAUAGCAACAAGGAUUUUGACUCUAAAUCUGGACGUUCUUUGUUUCAUGCUGAUACUACAGUUGGAGUAUUAAAGGAAAUUGCACAGAAGUGCAGAACUAGAGUGGAAUUCCGGUCAUCAUUAGUUGCUAGUACCGCAUUACAAUUCUCCAUUGAGGCAUGGUUCGCUGGGAAAAAGGUUGGUGAAGGAAUUGGUAGAACUAGAAGGGAAGCUCAACGCAAGGCUGCUGAGUGUUCAAUCAAACAAUUGGCCGAUGUAUAUAUGUCUCAUGUUAAGGCAAAUUCUGGUUCUAAUUAUGGUGAUGUGAGUGGAUUUCAUGGUUCAAACGACAAUGGUUUUGUGGGUGGUGUUAAUCCUCUUGAUAAUCAGCUAUUUCCUAAAGAAGAGUCAGUUUCAUUCUCAAUUGCAUCUGAGCCAUCUAGGGUUUUAGAUCCUAGGUUGGAAGUCUCUACAAGGUCAAUGGGUUCAAUUUCUGCUCUCAGAGAAUUGUGCAUGAUGGAGGGUCUUGCUGUCAGUUUUCAAUCUCUGCCAAUUCCAGUAUCAACAAAUUCUGUUCGGAAAGAUGAAGUACAUGCACAGGUGGAGAUAGAUGGCCUGGUCUUUGCCAAAGGGAUUGGGUUAACAUGGGAUGAGGCUAAAAUGCAGGCUGCUGAGAAGGCACUUGGAAGUCUGAGAACAAGGCUUGGUCAAGGCACUCGGAAGCCGCUGGGUUCACCCAGGUCACUGCAAGGAUUACCAAAUAAACGACUAAAGCAAGAAUAUCCUCAAAUUCUGCAACGGUUUCCCUCUUCUGCUAGAUAUCCCAGGAAUGCUUCUCUUGUUCCUUGAAAAGUGUGACUGGAUUCAUCUCACUUAGUCAGUAUGACUUUUAUAGGACAUAUAUUUCUUAUUGAAGCAACAAUUCAAAGAAUGGCUGUCGAUUGGAUGACUUCCAUGCCAGUUGUGUGUAUUUGGGAAUGCUCUGUGGCGAGCCCAGAAGAUGACACAGUUGCAGUUGCUUUUCUGUGCUUUGCAUACCCGGUGCAAGUUUUAAUGCAAAAGAGUUGUCUAUUGGAAUUGAGCAUUUGAUCAGGAUUUUUAUUGACCGAAGCCAUGAUGCACCAUUCAGCACAGGUCUUUUUACACCUGAAGUUAGUUUUCACUAACCUUACCACCUUACUUUUAACUAUUUUCAACUGAAUCACGAAAUGCCAUUCAGUACAGCUAUACAGGUAUUUCAAUGCUUGAAGUUGGUUUUCAUUAACGUUACCUCCAAUUUGUCUUUCAUGUUGCUGACAAUUCUAUCGCUGUGUACUUGUUUGGAGACACGGUUAUUUGGCAAUUUUUCUAGGUUAGUUCACAGAAGUAGUACAGUUUAUCAGUUUUGAUUAUUAUUAUUUUUUAUUCCCAAACCUUUUGGUGACACAAUUAUUUAUUUGUUCAAUAGAAAUCUCUCACAAUUAAUCGUGUGUGCUUGUAUCUGUUGCUGUCGGUGCACGAUAUUGUAUUUGAGGUGUACAUGCAACAUAUUACUCUGCUGAAAACUUAAUUGUAGCCUGGAGUAACAGCUUACUAUGCUCACUGUUAAUACUAUAUGAAGAAUAUUUAGC